rnacentral:rRNA from 1 species
CCACGCCGUAAACGAUGCUCACUGGUUCUUGGCGACAUGACGGUCAGGGAUCAAGCGAAAGUAUUAAGUGAGCCACCUGGGGAGUACGUCGGCAACGAUGAAACUCAAAGGAAUUGACGGGGGCCCGCACAAGCGGAGGAACAUGUGGUUUAAUUCGAUGAUACGCGAGGAACCUUACCCGGGUUUAAAUGGGUGCGGGCGUAACCGGAAACGGUUAUUCCCUUCGGGGCCGCAUUCAAGGUGCUGCAUGGUUGU